rnacentral:rRNA from 1 species
GAAUCACUAGUGAUUUUCCGGUUGAUCCUGCCGGAGGUCACUGCUAUCGGGGUUCGAUUAAGCCAUGCGAGUUGAGAGGGUUUAGACCCUCGGCGGACUGCUCAGUAACACGUGGAUAACCUGCCCUAAGGUGGAGGAUAACCCCGGGAAACUGGGGAUAAUACUCCAUAGACCAGAGUGACUGGAAUGUUUUCUGGUCGAAAGUUCCGGCGCCUUAGGAUGGAUCUGCGGCCGAUUAGGUAGUUGUUGGGGUAACGGCCCAACAAGCCAGUCAUCGGUACGGGUUGUGGGAGCAAGAGCCCGGAGAUGGAAUCUGAGACACGAUUCCAGGCCCUACGGGGCGCAGCAGGCGCGAAAACUUUACAAUGCAGGAAACUGUGAUAAGGGAACCCCGAGUGCUCGUACACGCGAGCUGUCCAGGUGUGUAAAAAGCAUCUGAAGAAAGGGCCGGGCAAGACCGGUGCCAGCCGCCGCGGUAAUACCGGCGGCUCGAGUGGUGGCCACUAUUAUUGGGCUUAAAGCGUUCGUAGCUGGACUCUUAAGUCUCCUGGGAAAUCCGCCGGCUCAACCGGCGGGCGUCCAGGAGAUACUGGGAGUCUUGGAACCGGAAGAGGUAAGAGUACUUCGGGGUAGGAGUGAAAUC